rnacentral:rRNA from 1 species
UACAUGUGGGGCAAGCGUUGUUCGGAAUUACUGGGCAUAAAGGGUGCGUAGGCGGCUUGAUAAGUCAGUGGUGAAAUCCGGUGGCCCAACCAUCGAACGGCCAUUGAUACUGUCGAGCUUGAGUGCGUGAGGGGUAACCGGAACGAGUGGUGUAGCGGUGAAAUGCGUAGAUAUCACGCGGAAGGCCAACGGCGAAGGCAGGUUACUGGUGCGCAACUGACGCUGAGGCACGAAAGCGUGGGGAGCAAACGGG